rnacentral:lncRNA from 10 species
GUAUACUUGAAAAUGGCUAACUGUAUGUUAUGUAAAUUUUGUCUCCAUGUAUUGGGAAAAAAGAAGAGUUUAGGUGGCUCUAAAACUCACAAGGAGUAUAAGAAGGGUUAGAGAAGACACUGAGGGAUUUUUUUAUGGGGAGAGUUGCUGCUGUGCUGAAUCUGCCCUCACCUAGCUCCGGCCAAGGGGCCGAUGGGCGGUGCCACUGUGACCUCCAGACAGCUUCUUGGCCAAGGUGACUCCAAGUCCUUCUCUGCCAGGGAGCACCAGGACUGAUGUUGACACUUGCCAGAGGAAUCUGGAAGUCAAAGUCCACACCUAUUGGCCUGGAACUCUGGCUGAGGCUUGCUCACAGGCGAAGCAGCAGUCUGAGGAAGCAUGAGUGGGUUAAGUUGCCUAAGUUGCCGAGAGGGAGAUUGGUGAAGGGGCUCAGGGACCCCCUUCCGCCCCCACCAGGAG